UACGUAGGCAGCAAGCGUUGUUCGGAGUUACUGGGCGUAAAGGGCGCGUAGGCGGUUCGUACAGUCAGGCGUGAAAUUCCCGGGCUUAACCUUGGGGCUGCGUUCGAGACGGGGUGUCUUGAGUGGGGAAGAGGGUCGUGGAAUUCCCAGUGUAGAGGUGAAAUUCGUAGAUAUUCGGAAGAACACCAGUGGCGAAGGCGACUUACUGGACACAUAUUGACGCUGAGGUGCGAAAGCGUGGGGAGCAAACAGG
rnacentral:rRNA from 1 species